UGAUAGCUCAGUUGGUAGAGCGAUAGGCUUUUAACCUAUUGGUCAUGGGUUCGAAUCCCAUUCA
rnacentral:ncRNA from 11 species